rnacentral:tRNA from 1 species
GACCGAGUACGCAAAGAGGUAAAGCGGUCACGUUGAGAGCGUGGCGAUUUUGCAGGUUCGAUCCCUGUUUCGGUCAC